UUAAGCGACUAAGCGUACACGGUGGAUGCCCUGGCAGUCAGAGGCGAUGAAGGACGUGCUAAUCUGCGAUAAGCGUCGGUAAGGUGAUAUGAACCGUUAUAACCGGCGAUUUCCGAAUGGGGAAACCCAGUGUGUUUCGACACACUAUCAUUAACUGAAUCCAUAGGUUAAUGAGGCGAACCGGGGGAACUGAAACAUCUAAGUACCCCGAGGAAAAGAAAUCAACCGAGAUUCCCCAGUAGCGGCGAGCGAACGGGGAGGAGCCCAGAGCCUGAAUCAGUGUGUGUGUUAGUGGAAGCGUCUGGAAAGGCGCGCGAUACAGGGUGACAGCCCCGUACACAAAAAUGCACAUGCUGUGAGCUCGAUGAGUAGGGCGGGACACGUGGUAUCCUGUCUGAAUAUGGGGGGACCAUCCUCCAAGGCUAAAUACUCCUGACUGACCGAUAGUGAACCAGUACCGUGAGGGAAAGGCGAAAAGAACCCCGGCGAGGGGAGUGAAAAAGAACCUGAAACCGUGUACGUACAAGCAGUGGGAGCACGCUUAGGCGUGUGACUGCGUACCUUUUGUAUAAUGGGUCAGCGACUUAUAUUCUGUAGCAAGGUUAACCGAAUAGGGGAGCCGAAGGGAAACCGAGUCUUAACUGGGCGUUAAGUUGCAGGGUAUAGACCCGAAACCCGGUGAUCUAGCCAUGGGCAGGUUGAAGGUUGGGUAACACUAACUGGAGGACCGAACCGACUAAUGUUGAAAAAUUAGCGGAUGACUUGUGGCUGGGGGUGAAAGGCCAAUCAAACCGGGAGAUAGCUGGUUCUCCCCGAAAGCUAUUUAGGUAGCGCCUCGUGAAUUCAUCUCCGGGGGUAGAGCACUGUUUCGGCAAGGGGGUCAUCCCGACUUACCAACCCGAUGCAAACUGCGAAUACCGGAGAAUGUUAUCACGGGAGACACACGGCGGGUGCUAACGUCCGUCGUGAAGAGGGAAACAACCCAGACCGCCAGCUAAGGUCCCAAAGUCAUGGUUAAGUGGGAAACGAUGUGGGAAGGCCCAGACAGCCAGGAUGUUGGCUUAGAAGCAGCCAUCAUUUAAAGAAAGCGUAAUAGCUCACUGGUCGAGUCGGCCUGCGCGGAAGAUGUAACGGGGCUAAACCAUGCACCGAAGCUGCGGCAGCGACGCUUAUGCGUUGUUGGGUAGGGGAGCGUUCUGUAAGCCUGUGAAGGUGUGCUGUGAGGCAUGCUGGAGGUAUCAGAAGUGCGAAUGCUGACAUAAGUAACGAUAAAGCGGGUGAAAAGCCCGCUCGCCGGAAGACCAAGGGUUCCUGUCCAACGUUAAUCGGGGCAGGGUGAGUCGACCCCUAAGGCGAGGCCGAAAGGCGUAGUCGAUGGGAAACAGGUUAAUAUUCCUGUACUUGGUGUUACUGCGAAGGGGGGACGGAGAAGGCUAUGUUGGCCGGGCGACGGUUGUCCCGGUUUAAGCGUGUAGGCUGGUUUUCCAGGCAAAUCCGGAAAAUCAAGGCUGAGGCGUGAUGACGAGGCACUACGGUGCUGAAGCAACAAAUGCCCUGCUUCCAGGAAAAGCCUCUAAGCAUCAGGUAACAUCAAAUCGUACCCCAAACCGACACAGGUGGUCAGGUAGAGAAUACCAAGGCGCUUGAGAGAACUCGGGUGAAGGAACUAGGCAAAAUGGUGCCGUAACUUCGGGAGAAGGCACGCUGAUAUGUAGGUGAAGUCCCUCGCGGAUGGAGCUGAAAUCAGUCGAAGAUACCAGCUGGCUGCAACUGUUUAUUAAAAACACAGCACUGUGCAAACACGAAAGUGGACGUAUACGGUGUGACGCCUGCCCGGUGCCGGAAGGUUAAUUGAUGGGGUCAGCGCAAGCGAAGCUCUUGAUCGAAGCCCCGGUAAACGGCGGCCGUAACUAUAACGGUCCUAAGGUAGCGAAAUUCCUUGUCGGGUAAGUUCCGACCUGCACGAAUGGCGUAAUGAUGGCCAGGCUGUCUCCACCCGAGACUCAGUGAAAUUGAACUCGCUGUGAAGAUGCAGUGUACCCGCGGCAAGACGGAAAGACCCCGUGAACCUUUACUAUAGCUUGACACUGAACAUUGAGCCUUGAUGUGUAGGAUAGGUGGGAGGCUUAGAAGUGUGGACGCCAGUCUGCAUGGAGCCGACCUUGAAAUACCACCCUUUAAUGUUUGAUGUUCUAACGUUGACCCGUAAUCCGGGUUGCGGACAGUGUCUGGUGGGUAGUUUGACUGGGGCGGUCUCCUCCUAAAGAGUAACGGAGGAGCACGAAGGUUGGCUAAUCCUGGUCGGACAUCAGGAGGUUAGUGCAAUGGCAUAAGCCAGCUUGACUGCGAGCGUGACGGCGCGAGCAGGUGCGAAAGCAGGUCAUAGUGAUCCGGUGGUUCUGAAUGGAAGGGCCAUCGCUCAACGGAUAAAAGGUACUCCGGGGAUAACAGGCUGAUACCGCCCAAGAGUUCAUAUCGACGGCGGUGUUUGGCACCUCGAUGUCGGCUCAUCACAUCCUGGGGCUGAAGUAGGUCCCAAGGGUAUGGCUGUUCGCCAUUUAAAGUGGUACGCGAGCUGGGUUUAGAACGUCGUGAGACAGUUCGGUCCCUAUCUGCCGUGGGCGCUGGAGAACUGAGGGGGCUGCUCCUAGUACGAGAGGACCGGAGUGGACGCAUCACUGGUGUUCGGGUUGUCAUGCCAAUGGCACUGCCCGGUAGCUAAAUGCGGAAGAGAUAAGUGCUGAAAGCAUCUAAGCACGAAACUUGCCCCGAGAUGAGUUCUCCCUGACUCCUUGAGAGUCCUGAAGGAACGUUGAAGACGACGACGUUGAUAGGCCGGGUGUGUAAGCGCAGCGAUGCGUUGAGCUAACCGGUACUAAUGAACCGUGAGGCUUAACCUU
rnacentral:rRNA from 1 species